rnacentral:rRNA from 1 species
GUUUGAUCCUGGCUCAGAUUGAACGCUGGCGGCAUGCUUUACACAUGCAAGUCGAACGGCAGCACGGGGGCAACCCUGGUGGCGAGUGGCGAACGGGUGAGUAAUAUAUCGGAACGUACCCGGAAAUGGGGGAUAACGUAGCGAAAGUUACGCUAAUACCGCAUAUGCCCUAAGGGGGAAAGCGGGGGAUUCGCAAGAACCUCGCGUUUUCGGAGCGGCCGAUAUCGGAUUAGCUAGUAGGUGAGGUAAAGGCUCACCUAGGCGACGAUCCGUAGCUGGUCUGAGAGGACGACCAGCCACACUGGAACUGAGACACGGUCCAGACUCCUACGGGAGGCAGCAGUGGGGAAUUUUGGACAAUGGGCGCAAGCCUGAUCCAGCCAUGCCGCGUGAGUGAAGAAGGCCUCGG